rnacentral:lncRNA from 1 species
CCAGUACUCCUUGGUGGGUUUGGGGCUGAUUUGGGGCUGAUUUUGGGCUCCAUCCUGCAGCUAUGCCGGUCACGGGGCCGGGGCGCGGCUCCUGGACGGGCAGAGCCUCGCCCGCCUCCCCUGCCGGGCCGUGGUUUUGCUCUUCGGCUGCUCCAGCGCCGCCCUGGCCCCGCGGGGAGCGCUCGAGCCCUCGGGCACCGUGCUCAAGUUCGUCCUGGCCGGGUGCCCGCUGGUGCUGGGGAACCUGUGGGACGUCACGGACCGGGACCUGGACCGGCUGGCGCAGGCGCUGCUGCGGGGGUGGCUGGGGGGGGGCCCCGGGACCCCCCUUUUGGGGCAGCUGGCCCAGGCCCGCCAGGCCCCCCGCCUCAAAUCGCUAAUCGGGGCCGCGCCCGUGGCCUACGGGCUGCCCGUCAGCCUCUGCUGAGGGGCCGGGGGGAGUUUGGGGUCCCCCCAUUGCCGGGAGUGAGGGUUG